GCCUUGGUUAGCUCAGUUGUUUAGCAUGACACUGGUAAUGCCAAGAUUGCAGGUUUGAUCCCUGUAUGGGACA